rnacentral:rRNA from 1 species
GACGAACGCUGGCGGCGUGCUUAACACAUGCAAGUCGAACGGAAAGGCCCUGCUUUUGUGGGGUGCUCGAGUGGCGAACGGGUGAGUAACACGUGAGUAACCUGCCCUUGACUUUGGGAUAACUUCAGGAAACUGGGGCUAAUACCGGAUAGGAGCUCCUGCUGCAUGGUGGGGGUUGGAAAGUUUCGGCGGUUGGGGAUGGACUCGCGGCUUAUCAGCUUGUUGGUGGGGUAGUGGCUUACCAAGGCUUUGGCGGGUAGCCGGCCUGAGAGGGUGACCGGCCACAUUGGGACUGAGAUACGGCCCAGACUCCUACGGGAGGCAGCAGUGGGGAAUAUUGCCCAAUGGGCGGAAGCCUGAUGCAGCAACGCCGCGUGCGGGAUGACGGCCUUCGGGUUGUAAACCGCUUUCGCCUGUGACGAAGCGUGAGUGACGGUAAUGGGUAAAGAAGCACCGGCUAACUACGUG